GACUCGAUGGCGGAUGGCCUGCGCCUGCUUUCCAUGCCAGGUUGCAUGAAUUAAAUACAGCAGGAGAAUCCCAGUUUGAUUCUGGGUCGAGUCA